ACUAUUUUGUUCAAACUCAUUGUAUUCUACUGAAUGUGCCAUAGAAAUGAUACAGGAUUUACCUUAAUUAUUGGCUGUAUACUUUGGAUUUGCUAGAUCACCAACCCCAGCAUGGACCAAUCUCUCAUUCCAUCCUCUAGAGAACCUUGGAUAACUGAUUGGUGGGCAGUCUAAUAUAUUUUAAAAAUCAUGGAUAUCAAGAACAUUGAUGGCACCAAUUAUAAACAAGACUUUAUGAGAACUCGUAUGUCAUUUCAAGAAAAAGGACAGGAUUAUGCAGUCAAUACGAUUCAUUGUUUGCUAACCGUUGGCUGCCACCAUUGAUUCUCCAUUUUUACUUCCUUAAACGGGCCCUCUUGAUUUGAGGGUAAUCCUUCGCUACUUAUCGUGGACUUCAUCCAUUGCUGAACACCGACGAGAGCAUGCAGUCAUUCAAGACUGAUGAAUUGUGUAGUUAGCAAAAUUACAAGUGCAUAUGUGGGCUCCCUUCUUUUCUGUGGCCCUGUUUCCCUAACUAACCACUAACCAACGCCCGCCGGUGGUCACUCACCCGCUGUGAAACCAGGAGGAGGG
rnacentral:lncRNA from 1 species